rnacentral:rRNA from 1 species
AUUGAACGCUGGCGGCAUGCCUUACACAUGCAAGUCGAACGGCAGCACGGGAGCAAUCCUGGUGGCGAGUGGCGAACGGGUGAGUAAUAUAUCGGAACGUACCCUAGAGUGGGGGAUAACGCAGCGAAAGUUGCGCUAAUACCGCAUACGAUCUACGGAUGAAAGUGGGGGAUCGCAAGACCUCAUGCUCAUGGAGCGGCCGAUAUCUGAUUAGCUAGUUGGUGGGGUAAAGGCCUACCAAGGCUUCGAUCAGUAGCUGGUCUGAGAGGACGACCAGCCACACUGGAACUGAGACACGGUCCAGACUCCUACGGGAGGCAGCAGUGGGGAAUUUUGGACAAUGGGCGAAAGCCUGAUCCAGCAAUGCCGCGUGAGUGAAGAAGGCCUUCGGGUUGUAAAGCUCUUUUGUCAGGGAAGAAACGGUGGACUCUAAUACAGAUCACUAAUGACGGUACCUGAAGAAUAAGCACCGGCUAACUACGUG